GCAGUAGAAGUAUUCUGCCUGACUCUGGUCGGACUUAGAUUUCUUGGUCUGACUGGACUUGGGUGCCCCAGCACUUUGCACCCUUUUUUUGUUCUUCUUGUUCUUCUUUCCUUUCUUAAAGGAUCGACAUCUAGAAAAAGACCCUCCAAUAAUAUUCACUGACUUCUUUUAAAGUUGGUGAUCCUUCUCAAAGUUUUACAGCAACCCUAACAAAUCGUGGUAGUUAACUACAGACUU
rnacentral:lncRNA from 1 species